rnacentral:lncRNA from 1 species
UCUAGCAACUAGUUGAUGUUAUGAUGCAUCGUUGGUCCGGUGUACGAUGGCGCCUGAUGCGAUUUAUGCGUCCGGAAGCCCUUUCAGCCUCCAGGCAUGUCCCCACCUGCCUCACAGCCACCGACGCAUCUCACGGCGGGGGUCCAAUUGCGUGCGCGUAUGGAUGCUCCUUUCCCCGCCGCCUUUCUAGCAACUAGUUGAUGUUAUGAUGCAUCGUUGGUCCGGCGUACGACGGCGCCUGAUGCGAUUUAUGCGUCCGAAAGCCCUUUCAGCCUCCAGGCAUGUCCCCACCUGCCUCACAGCCACCGACGCAUCUCACGGCGGGGUUCCAUAUUGUGUGCGCAUAUGGAUGCUCCUUUCCCCGCCGCCUUUCUAGCAACUAGUUGAUGUUAUGAUGCAUCGUUGGUCCGGUGUACGACGGCGCCUGAUGCGAUUUAUGCGUCCGGAAGCCCUUUCAGCCUCCAGGCACGUCCCCACCUGCCUCACAGCCACCGACGCAUCUCACGGCGGGGUUCCAUAUUGUGUGCGCAUAUGGAUGCUCCUUUCCCCGCCGCCUUUCUAGCAACUAGUUGAUGUUAUGAUGCAUCGUUGGUCCGGUGUACGACGGCGCCUGAUGCGAUUUAUGCGUCCGGAAGCCCUUUCAGCCUCCAGGCACGUCCCCACCUGCCUCACAGCCACCGACGCAUCUCACGGCGGGGGUCUAAUUGCGUGCGCAUAUGGAUGCUCCUUUCCCCGCCGCCUUUCUAGCAACUAGUUGAUGUUAUGAUGCAUCGUUGGUCCGGUGUACGACGGCGCCUGAUGCGAUUUAUGCGUCUGAAAGCCCUUUCAGCCUCCAGGCAUGUCCCCACCUGCCUCACAGCCACCGACGCAUCUCACGGCGGGGGUCUAAUUGCGUGCGCGUAUGGAUGCUCCUUUCCCCGCCGCCUUUCUAGCAACUAGUUGAUGUUAUGAUGCAUCGUUGGUCCGGUGUACGAUGGCGCCUGAUGCGAUUUAUGCGUCCGGAAGCCCUUUCAGCCUCCAGGCAUGUCCCCACCUGCCUCACAGCCACCGACGCAUCUCACGGCGGGGGUCUAAUUGCGUGCGCGUAUGGAUGCUCCUUUCGCCGCCUUUCCAGCAACUAGUUGAUGUUAUGAUGCAUCGUUGGUCCGGCGUAACGACGGCGCCUGAUGCGAUUUAUGCGUCCGGAAGCCCUUUCAGCCUCCAGGCAUGUCCCCACCUGCCUCACAGCCACCGACGCAUCUCACGGCGGGGUUCCAAUUGUGUGCACGUAUGGAUGCUCCUUUCGCCGCCGCCUUUCUAGCAACUAGUUGAUGUUAUGAUGCAUCGUUGGUCCGGUGUACGACGGCGCCUGAUGCGAUUUAUGCGUCUGAAAGCCCUUUCAGCCUCCAGGCAUGUCCCCACCUGCCUCACAGCCACCGACGCAUCUCACGGCGGGGUUCCAAUUGUGUGCGCAUAUGGAUGCUCCUUUCCCCGCCGCCUUUCUAGCAACUAGUUGAUGUUAUGAUGCAUCGUUGGUCCGGUGUACGACGGCGCCUGAUGCGAUUUAUGCGUCUGAAAGCCCUUUCAGCCUCCAGGCAUGUCCCCACCUGCCUCACAGCCACCGACGCAUCUCACGGCGGGGUUCCAAUUGUGUGCGCAUAUGGAUGCUCCUUUCCCCGCCGCCUUUCUAGCAACUAGUUGAUGUUAUGAUGCAUCGUUGGUCCGGUGUACGACGGCGCCUGAUGCGAUUUAUGCGUCCGGAAGCCCUUUCAGCCUCCAGGCAUGUCCCCACCUGCCUCACAGCCACCGACGCAUCUCACGGCGGGGUUCCAAUUGUGUGCGCGUAUGGAUGCUCCUUUCCCCGCCGCCUUUCUAGCAACUAGUUGAUGUUAUGAUGCAUCGUUGGUCCGGUGUACGACGGCGCCUGAUGCGAUUUAUGCGUCCGGAAGCCCUUUCAGCCUCCAGGCAUGUCCCCAC